UGGGGAAUAUUGGACAAUGGGCGAAAGCCUGAUCCAGCCAUGCCGCGUGUGUGAAGAAGGUCUUCGGAUUGUAAAGCACUUUAAGUUGGGAGGAAGGGCAGUAAGCGAGUACCUUGCUGUUUUGACGUUACCGACAGAAUAAGCACCGGCUAACUCUGUGCCAGCAGCCGCGGUAAUACAGAGGGUGCAAGCGUUAAUCGGAAUUACUGGGCGUAAAGCGCGCGUUGGUGGUUCGUUAAGUUGAAUGUGAAAGCCCCGGGCUCAACCUGGGAACAGCAUCCAAAGCUGGCGAGCUAGAGUAGGGCAGAGGGUGGUGGAAUUUCCUGUGUAGCGGUGAAAUGCGUAGAUAUAGGAAGGAACACCAGUGGCGAAGACGACCACCUGGGCUCAUACUGACACUGAGGUGCGAAAACGUGGGGAGCAAACAGG
rnacentral:rRNA from 1 species